UAAAGAGAAGCAAGGUGGAAUAGCGAAGGGUUUUGAUCCCUUAGACGUAGGUUCAACUCCUAUCUCUUUAA
rnacentral:tRNA from 3 species